UACAGAGGUGGCAAGCGUUGUUCGGAAUUACUGGGCGUAAAGGGCGCGUAGGCGGUUCGUUAAGUCCUGUGUGAAAUCCCCCGGCUCAACUGGGGAACUGCACAGGAAACUAGCGGGCUUGAGUUCGGGAGAGGGAAGCGGAAUUCCGGGUGUAGCGGUGAAAUGCGUAGAUAUCUGGAGGAACACCGGUGGCGAAGGCGGCGAUCCUGGACCAACACUGACACUGAGGAGCGAAAGCCAGGGGAGCAAACGGG
rnacentral:rRNA from 1 species